CGGAGGAAAAGAAACUAACAAGGAUUCCCCUAGUAACGGCGAGUGAAGCGGGAAAAGCUCAAAUUUGUAAUCUGGCGCCUUGGGCGUCCGAGUUGUAAUCUCGAGAAGUAUUUUCCGCGCUGGACCGCACAUAAGUCUGUUGGAAUACAGCGUCAUAGUGGUGAGAACCCCGUAUAGGGUGCGGAUGCCCAGUGCUUUGUGAUAUACUUUCGAAGAGUCGAGUUGUUUGGGAAUGCAGCUCAAAUUGGGUGGUAAAUUCCAUCUAAAGCUAAAUAUUGGCGAGAGACCGAUAGCGAACAAGUACCGUGAGGGAAAGAUGAAAAGCACUUUGGAAAGAGAGUUAACAGUACGUGAAAUUGUUGGAAGGGAAACGCUUGAAGUCAGACUUGCAUUUUGGAGUUCAGCCGCAAGGUGUAUUCUUCAAUUCGCAGGCCAGCAUCAGUUUUUGGGGGUGGAAAAGCGCGGUUCGAAGGUAGCAGUCUCGGACUGUGUUAUAGCUUGCCGCUGGAUUCACUUUUGGGG
rnacentral:rRNA from 1 species